rnacentral:rRNA from 1 species
CGGGGUGCACCAGGCGCGAAAACUCUACAAUGCAGGCAACUGCGAUAGGGGAACAUCGAGUGAUCCUCAUAUUGGGGGUCUGUCCACCCGUCUAAAAAACGGGUGUUAGCAAGGGCCGGGCAAGACCGGUGCCAGCCGCCGCGGUAAUACCGGCGGCUCGAGUGGUGGCCGAUAUUAUUGAGUCUAAAGGGUCCGUAGCCGGCUUUGCAAGUCUCUCGGGAAAUCCAGCGGCUUAACCGUUGGUCGUCCGGGGGGUACUACAUUGCUUGGGACUGGGAGAGGUAGGAGGUACUCAGGGGGUAGGAGUGAAAUCCUGUAAUCCUUUGGGGACCACCGGUGGCGAAGGCGUCCUACCAGAACAGGUCCGACGGUGAGGGACGAAAGCUAGGGGCACGAACCGGAUUAGAUACCCGGGUAGUCCUAGCCGUAAACGAUGCUCGCUAGGCGUCACAACAGUCGUGAACUGUUGUGGUGCCGUAGGGAAGCCGUGAAGCGAGCCACUUGGGAAGUACGACCGCAAGGUUGAAACUUAAAGGAAUUGGCGGGGGAGCAC